rnacentral:rRNA from 1 species
GUAGGGUGCGAGCGUUAAUCGGAAUUACUGGGCGUAAAGCGUGCGCAGGCGGUUCGUCAAGUCUGAUGUGAAAUCCCCGGGCUCAACCUGGGAACUGCAUUGGAUACUAGCGAGCUUGAGUGUGGCAGAGGGGGGUGGAAUUCCACGUGUAGCAGUGAAAUGCGUAGAGAUGUGGAAGAACACCGAUGGCGAAGGCAGCCCCCUGGGCUAACACUGACGCUCAGGCACGAAAGCGUGGGGAGCAAACAGGAUUAGAUACCCUGGUAGUCCACGCCCUAAACGAUGUCAACUGGGUGUUGGGGGAGCGAUUCCUCAGUACCGUAGCUAACGCGUGAAGUUGACCGCCUGAGGAGUACGGCCGCAAGGUUA